AUUGAACGCUGGCGGCAGGCCUAACACAUGCAAGUCGAACGAAUGGCGGACGGGUGAGUAAGGUCUGGACAACUGCCUUAUAUAAGGGGAUAACUACUGUAAACGUUAUCUAAUACUGCAUACCAUCAGAUGUGCCCAGAUGGGAUUAGCUAGUUGGUGGGGUAACGGCUCACCAAGGCGACGAUCCCUAGCUGGUCUGCGAGGAUGACCAGCUAUACGGGAACGGAGACACGGCCCAGACUCCUACGGGAGGCAGCAGUGGGGAAUAUUGGACAAUUGGCGCAAGCCUGAGCGAGCCAUGCCGCGUGUAUGAAGAAGGUCUUCGGGUCGUAAAGUACUUUCGUCGGGGAGGCGUUACCCGCCGAAGAAGCAACGGCUAACUACGUGCCAGCAGCCGCGGUAAUAC
rnacentral:rRNA from 1 species